UGUGUCACCAUAGUAACCGGGCCUCCCAGCCAGCUGGUAGGCCUGUAAUCGAGGGCCCCGCUCCGCCGGUCGAGUCCCAGGCCAGGCCUGGAAUAGAAACCCCGGGGAUUGGGGGCCUGGUCUGGAGUUGGCCAAACGGGGGACGAGAUGUUUCAGAGGGAGUGAGUGAUUCAGAGGAAGCGUUGCAGUAUGACAUCUUUUGGCUGGAAGAGGAAAGCAGGGGAGAAAGUGUCAAAGGUUGCCUCACAGAACUUUGAGGCAGCAGCUGUGGAUGAUGGAUUGGUUGACGCUGAUGUGGACUGGUUGCAUGUAACCAAGCGGCAACGUAAGGCCCUGCUGGAAGACUGCACGGUGAAGAGCAAGAGGCUGAAGGAAGAGGGGAUUUUCCUGUCUGAAAAUGGAAGGUUCUCAUGAUCCUGAACGAGGUUUUCCAGGCAGUUCAAGCAGCAGAGAUGGCGGUGCGUCUCAAUCCUCAGUGGUGGGAAGCACUGCAAACCCUGGGCCGUGCUCAGCUCAGCCUGGGCGAGAUAACCAU